rnacentral:lncRNA from 10 species
AAACAAACAAAAGAUGAUUUCUAUUUCCUCACUGGAGGGUCUGUCUAAACCAAUGAAUGCAAUUUAAAGGCAGGGCCUGCAGAAGAGCGGUCUGCAUAAUGCGCGGCAAGGCCCAUCGUGUGUGUGUAGAAAAGACUAAAAAUAAGAAUGGAUAAAGGGAAAUCUAAAGAGAAGAGGAUCAUCUUGGCCCUGAAAGCACAAGGGAAUUGCACUUACUGCACCAACCAGAGACAAGCUGAGAGGCGGCUUCUGAGAGCAAGGGGAGAGCGGAGAGAGCAGAGAGCGUCAACACAAAUAAUUCCAACUGGAUCUGCAAAGUGAGUGCUGCAAGCUGAAGAUUUGCCCCCUGGCCGGUAUCUGUGGGAAACAAAGCCAAGAAGAAUCAUUCAGUAUAUUUUAAAUGGCUUAAAAUUCAUUUAUAUAUGGCAGGCACCUGAGAGUCACUUCUGGGCAGAAAGACAAACACAUGAAUACAAGCCAUAAAUGAAAAGAAUCAACCAGUUACACCAUUAAAAAUGUCUGAAUAUAAUGCCAGUUACUACGAGUGUGGAGGGUGCAUCUCUGAGAUGGUGAAUUUCUUCCCACCUAAAAGCAGGGUGACCUAGGAGGAAUUGGUAGUGCCCUUUCACUUAUUUUCAGACAGGCUCAAGAUUACUUUCAAUAAAUAAGUAUAAUUGUUCAUAAUUUGAAGAAUGUACUUACCUGAUGACAUGACUUUAAAUGUCAAAAAGCUAAAAGAUCACACACAAACACACACACACACGCACCUACCUGUCAAAACUAAUAAAUGAACCCAGCAAAGUUGCAGAAUAUGUAAUCAACACACAAAAGUCAGCUGUGUUUUUUAUGCUAGUAAUAGACAAUCUGGAAAGAAAAUUAAGAAAACAAUUCUAUUUGCAAAAGUAUUAAAAAGAAUAAAAUACUUAGAAAUAAACCUAACCAAGGAGGCUUAACACUUGUACUCUGAAAACUAUAAAACAUUGCAGAAAGAAGUGAAAAACAAAUAAAUGGUGAGAUGUUCCCUGUUGAGAUUGGAAAACUAAAGAAGUCAAUACAUUGGAAAAGUGAUCUACAGAUUCCAUUCAAUCCCUAUCAAAAUCUCAACCUUUUUUGCAGAAAUAAAAAAAUAAAUUAUCCUACAAAUAAUAUGUAAUUUCAAGAGACCCUGAACAGCCAAAACAAUCUCAAAAAAUAACAAAUGUGGACAUCCCACACUUCCUGCUUUCAAAAAUUACUACAAAGCUACAGUAAUCAAAACAGUGUGGUAUGCUGUGGCAUAGACUGACAUAUAGACCAAGGGAAUGGAAUAGAGAUCCCAGAAAUAUACCCUCAUAUAUAAGGUCAAAUGAUUUUUGACGAGGGUGCCAAGACCAGUCAAUGGGGAAAGGACAGUCUUUUCAACAGAUGAUGUUGGGGAAACUGGACAUCCACUUGCCAAACACAAAAAACAAGAAAAACUCUCAGGAACCUGGACCCUUACCUUUCAUUAUACAUAAAAAUUAACUCAUAAUGCAUCAAAGACCUAGACAUGAGAGCAAAACUAUAAAACUCUGGAGAACACAUAGGGAAAAAGCUUCACAGCAUUAGAUUUGGCAAAGAUAUCUUGCACGUGACACCAGAAACAUGAGUAAUAAAACAAAAAAAUAGAUAAAUUGGGCUUUAGGCCCUCCAUUAUUAAAAUUUAAAAAUUUAUUCAAUGAAGGACAUAAACAACAGAGGAAAAAGGCCACCCACAGAAAGGGAGAAAACAUUUGUAAAUUAUAUAGUAAUAAAGAAAUAACAGUCUAGAAUAUAUAAAAAUAUCUACAACUCAAUAACAAAAACAAACAACACGAUUUUAAAAAAAUGGGCAAAAGACUUGAAUAGACAUUUCUCCAGAGAAGACAGACAAACGGCCAAGAAAUACAUGAAAUGGUGCUCAGCAUCACUAAUCAUUAGGGAAAUGCAACCGAAGAACAAUAAAAUACCACUUCACCUCCAUUUGGAUGGCUAUUAUUCAAGACAAAGAAAGUUGAUGAGGACGUUUAGAAAUUGGAGCUCUUGUGUACUGGUGGCAGGAAGGUGACAUGGCAAGCCACUGUGAAAAAUGGAAUGGUAGUUCCUCAAAACAACAACAGAGAAUUAGCCAGGACAUGAUGUCUCCCUACAUCACCCAGUCUGGUCUCAAACUCCUGGACCCAAGUAAUCCUCCU